GUUGCCGGAGCUGCUGAAUGUUAGUGGAGCUGCGCUGAUUUCCACGGAGAUGUGAUGGCUCUUUUUGUCACACAUACCGGGUUAUUUCCUAUGGGGACUCAGGGAUUCAGCAGGUGGAGUCCCAUUUUCAAGGAAAGGCUCCGGGCUGCCGGCAGGUUCUGCCCGUCUGUACCACGGAUCCUGAUUCCAGUGGUGUGCAAAGAAACAGCCAAACCGAUGAGUGCUCCAGUGCAGCCCAGCCCACGGCCCUGCUGCCUCUGCUCCUCCAUCAGCUGAGAAUCUGAACUGUGUGACUUAGGAGCGAAUGGG
rnacentral:lncRNA from 1 species